rnacentral:rRNA from 1 species
GACGAACGCUGGCGGCGUGCUUAACACAUGCAAGUCGAACGAUGAAGCUGGAGCUUGCUCUGGUGGAUUAGUGGCGAACGGGUGAGUAACACGUGAGUAACCUGCCCUGGACUCUGGGAUAACCCCGAGAAAUCGGAGCUAAUACCGGAUAGGACCUCGGAUCGCAUGAUCUGGGGUGGAAAGUUUUUCGGUCUGGGAUGGACUCGCGGCCUAUCAGCUUGUUGGUGAGGUAAUGGCUCACCAAGGCGUCGACGGGUAGCCGGCCUGAGAGGGUGGCCGGCCACACUGGGACUGAGACACGGCCCAGACUCCUACGGGAGGCAGCAGUGGGGAAUAUUGCACAAUGGGCGCAAGCCUGAUGCAGCAACGCCGCGUGCUGGAUGACGGCCUUCGGGUUGUAAACCGCUUUUAGUAAGGAAGAAGCCGCAAGGUGACGGUACUUGCAGAAAAAGGACCGGCUAACUACGUGCCAGCCGCCGCCGUAAAAC